rnacentral:rRNA from 1 species
CCCCAGGCCAGCAUGACGUUUGCUCCUGGGCGCUCUGCCAUCCUUCUGUCAACCUUCGCCUCGUCCAUUCGUGGCGCUGGGGCUCAGAUAUUUUACCUUGAGAAAAUUAGAGUGUUUCAGGCAGGCUUUCGCCGGAAUACAUUAGCAUGGAAUAAUGGAAAAGGACUUCAACCUCUUCUGGUGGUCUGAGAGGCUGUAGUAAUGAUUAAUAGGGAUAGUUGGGGGCAUUAGUACUUAUCUGUCAGAGGUGAAAUUCUCCGAUUUGGUAAAGACUAACUUAUGCGAAAGCAUUUGCCAAGGAUGUUUUCAUUAAUCAUGAACGAG